GGAGGGUGCAAGCGUUGUCCGGAUUCACUGGGUUUAAAGGGUGCGUAGGUGGGUUGGUAAGUCAGUGGUGAAAUCUCCAGGCUUAACUUGGAAACUGCCAUUGAUACUAUCAAUCUUGAAUACCGUGGAGAUGAGCGGAAUAUGUCAUGUAGCGGUGAAAUGCUUAGAUAUGACAUAGAACACCAAUUGCGAAGGCAGCUCGUUACACGAAUAUCGACACUGAUGCACGAAAGCGUGGGGAUCAAACAGGAUUAGAUACCCUGGUAGUCCACGCCCUAAACGAUGGAUACUCGACAUUUGCGAUAAACUGCAAGUGUCUGAGCGAAAGCAUUAAGUAUCCCACCUGGGAAGUACGACCGCAAGGUUG
rnacentral:rRNA from 1 species